rnacentral:rRNA from 1 species
AGUGAACGCUGGCGGUAGGCCUAACACAUGCAAGUCGAACGGCAGCACAGUAAGAGCUUGCUCUUACGGGUGGCGAGUGGCGGACGGGUGAGGAAUACAUCGGAAUCUACUUUUUCGUGGGGGAUAACGUAGGGAAACUUACGCUAAUACCGCAUACGACCUACGGGUGAAAGCAGGGGAUCUUCGGACCUUGCGCGAUUGAAUGAGCCGAUGUCGGAUUAGCUAGUUGGCGGGGUAAAGGCCCACCAAGGCGACGAUCCGUAGCUGGUCUGAGAGGAUGAUCAGCCACACUGGAACUGAGACACGGUCCAGACUCCUACGGGAGGCAGCAGUGGGGAAUAUUCGACAAUGGGCGCAAGCCUGAUCCAGCCAUACCGCGUGGGUGAAGAAGGCCUUCGGGUUGUAAAGCCCUUUUGUUGGGAAAGAAAAGCAGCAGGUUAAUACCCCGCUGUUCUGACGGUACCCAAAGAAUAAGCACCGGCUAACUUCGUG